UGGGGAAUCUUGCACAAUGGGGGAAACCCUGAUGCAGCGACGCCGCGUGAGCGAUGAAGCCCUUCGGGGUGUAAAGCUCUUUCGGCAGGGAAGAUGAUGACGGUACCUGCAGAAGCAGCUGCGGCUAACUACGUGCCAGCAGCCGCGGUAAUACGUAGGCAGCAAGCGUUGUUCGGAGUUACUGGGCGUAAAGGGUGUGUAGGCGGUUCUUUAAGUUUGGUGUGAAAUCUCCCGGCUCAACUGGGAGGGUGCGCCGAAUACUGAGGGACUCGAGUGCGGGAGAGGAAAGUGGAAUUCCUGGUGUAGCGGUGAAAUGCGUAGAUAUCAGGAGGAACACCGGUGGUGUAAACGGCUUUCUGGACCGUAACUGACGCUGAGACACGAAAGCGUGGGUAGCAAACA
rnacentral:rRNA from 2 species